GAUGAACGCUGGCGGCGUGCCUAAUACAUGCAAGUCGAGCGAACAGACGAGGAGCUUGCUCCUCUGACGUUAGCGGCGGACGGGUGAGUAACACGUGGAUAACCUACCUAUAAGACUGGGAUAACUUCGGGAAACCGGAGCUAAUACCGGAUAAUAUAUUGAACCGCAUGGUUCAAUAGUGAAAGACGGUUUUGCUGUCACUUAUAGAUGGAUCCGCGCCGCAUUAGCUAGUUGGUAAGGUAACGGCUUACCAAGGCAACGAUGCGUAGCCGACCUGAGAGGGUGAUCGGCCACACUGGAGCUGAGACACGGUCCAGACUCCUACGGGAGGCAGCAGUAGGGAAUCUUCCGCAAUGGGCGAAAGCCUGACGGAGCAACGCCGCGUGAGUGAUGAAGGUCUUCGGAUCGUAAAACUCUGUUAUUAGGGAAGAACAAAUGUGUAAGUAACUAUGCACGUCUUGACGGUACCUAAUCAGAAAGCCACGGCUAACUACGUGC
rnacentral:rRNA from 1 species